rnacentral:rRNA from 1 species
AGCGAACGUUAGCGGCAGGCUUAACACAUGCAAGUCGAGCGAAACGGAUCCCUUCGGGAUCCUAGUAAGCGGCGGACGGGUGAGUAACACGUGGGUAAUCUGCCUUUUGGUAGGGGACAACCACUCGAAAGGGUGGCUAAUACCGUAUAAGUCGUUUGGGUCUUCGGACCUGAUCGGGAAAGCUGGCUUCGGCUGGCGCCAAAAGAGGAGCCCGCGUCGCAUCAGCUAGUUGGUGAGGUAACGGCUCACCAAGGCUAAGACGCGUAGCUGGUCUGAGAGGAUGAUCAGCCACACUGGGACUGAGACACGG